rnacentral:rRNA from 1 species
UACGUAGGGUGCGAGCGUUGUCCGGAAUUAUUGGGCGUAAAGAGCUUGUAGGCGGUUUGUCGCGUCUGCCGUGAAAAUCCGGGGCUCAACCCCGGACUUGCGGUGGGUACGGGCAGACUAGAGUGUGGUAGGGGAGACUGGAAUUCCUGGUGUAGCGGUGAAAUGCGCAGAUAUCGGGAAGAACACCCGUGGCGAAGGCGGCUCUCUGGGACGGUACUGACGCUGAGACGCGAAAGCGUGGGGAGCGAACAGG